rnacentral:rRNA from 1 species
AUUGAACGCUGGCGGCAGGCCUAACGCAUGCAAGUCGAGCGGCAGCGGAAGGAAGCUUGCUUCCUUGCCGGCGAGCGGCGGACGGGUGAGUAAGGUAUGGGGAUCUGGCCGAAGGCGGGGGAUAACCACUGGAAACGGUGGCUAAUACCGCAUAAUCUCUAGGGAGCAAAGUGGGGGACCGUUCAGGCCUCACACCUUCGGAUGAACCCAUAUGAAAUUAGCUAGUAGGUGGGGUAAUGGCUCACCUAGGCGACGAUCUCUAGCUGGUCUGAGAGGAUGAUCAGCCACACUGGGACUGAGACACGGCCCAGACUCCUACGGGAGGCAGCAGUGGGGAAUAUUGCACAAUGGGCGCAAGCCUGAUGCAGCCAUGCCGCGUGUAUGAAGAAGGCCUUCGGGUUGUAAAGUACUUUCAAUCGUGAGGAAGGUGUUAAGGUUAAUAACCUUAGCAAUUGACGUUAGCGACAGAAGAAGCACCGGCUAACUCCGUGCCAGCCGCCGCGGUAA